UACGUAGGGUGCGAGCGUUGUCCGGAAUUACUGGGCGUAAAGAGCUCGUAGGUGGUUUGUCGCGUUGUUCGUGAAAACUCACAGCUCAACUGUGGGCGUGCGGGCGAUACGGGCAGACUGGAGUACUGCAGGGGAGACUGGAAUUCCUGGUGUAGCGGUGGAAUGCGCAGAUAUCAGGAGGAACACCGGUGGCGAAGGCGGGGUCUCUGGGCAGUAACUGACGCUGAGGAGCGAAAGCGUGGGGAGCGAACAGG
rnacentral:rRNA from 1 species